rnacentral:rRNA from 1 species
CAAUAGCGUAUAUUAAAGUUGUUGCAGUUAAAAAGCUCGUAGUUGGAUUUGUGGUGUGUCCAGUCGGCCUUUGCUCUCUGAGUGAUUGUGCUGUACUGGUCUGCCAUGUUUGGGUGGAAUCUGUGUGGCAUUAAGUUGUCGUGCAGGGGAUGCCCAUCGUUUACUGUGAAAAAAUUAGAGUGUUCAAAGCAGGCUUAUGCCGUUGAAUAUAUUAGCAUGGAAUAAUGAUAUAGGACCUUGGUACUAUUUUGUUGGUUUGCGCACUAAGGUAAUGAUUAAGAGGGACAGUUGGGGGUAUUUGUAUUCCAUUGUCAGAGGUGAAAUUCUUAGAUUUUUGGAAGACAAACUAUUGCGAAAGCAUUUACCAAGGAUGUUUUCAUUAA